CGCCCUCCGAGGCUGCGUCCCGGGAAGCCCGGCCCCCCGCGCCCCCCGGCCCGGCCCGGCGCCCCGGACCUGAGCGCGCCCCCAUGGAGGCGCCCGGGCUGGCCAAGGCGGCCGCGGCGGACGCCGACGCCCGAGAGAGCUCGGGGGAGACCCCCGACGGCGCGCCCGCGCACUUCCCCGGCCCCGGGGCGCCCUCGCCGGAGCCGCCCGCCUACCGCCCGCAGGACUUCGACACGCUGGCCACCGUGGGUACGGGGACGUUCGGUCGCGUGCAGCUGGUCCGCGAGAAGCAGAGCACACGUUUCUUCGCCCUGAAGGUGAUGAGUAUCCCGGACGUCAUCCGCCUGAAGCAGGAACAGCACGUUCACAACGAGAAAUCCGUGCUGAAGGAAGUCAGCCACCCGUUCCUGGUCAAGCUGUUCUGGACGGGGCACGAUGACCGCUUCCUGUACAUGCUGAUGGAGUUCGUGCCGGGUGGUGAGCUCUUCAGCUACCUGCGCAACCAGGGCCGCUUCUCCAGCUCCACCGGGCUCUUCUACGCCGCGGAGAUCGUCUGUGCCAUCGAGUACCUGCACUCCAAGGAGAUCGUCUACAGGGACCUGAAGCCGGAGAACAUCCUGCUGGAUAGAGACGGUCACAUCAAGCUCACUGACUUCGGGUUCGCCAAGAAACUGGUGGACAAGACGUGGACCCUUUGCGGGACCCCCGAGUACCUGGCCCCCGAAGUCAUCCAGAGCAAGGGCCACGGGAGAGCCGUGGACUGGUGGGCGCUCGGCAUCCUCAUAUUCGAGAUGCUCUCGGGGUUUCCUCCGUUUUUUGAUGACAACGCAUUUGGCAUUUACCAAAAAAUUCUUGCAGGCAAGAUCGAUUUCCCCAGGCAUUUGGACUUCAGUGUCAAAGACCUCAUUAAGAAAUUGCUUGUUGUCGACAGAACAAGGAGAUUGGGCAACAUGAAGAAUGGAGCAGAGGAUGUGAAACGGCAUCGGUGGUUCCGGACCAUGGAUUGGGAGACUGUCCCAGAAAGGAAACUGAAGCCUCCCAUCGUGCCCAAAGUGUGCAGCGAGGGCGACACCUCCAACUUCGAAGCUUAUCCCGAGAACGACUGGAACAUGGCCCCUCCGGUGUCACAGAAAGAUCUGGAAGUCUUCAAGAAUUUCUGAGCAUGGGCUCCCCACCUGGAAGGUGAAAAAGCACCUGAUGGAGUCACCAUUUACCUGAGGAAGGGGGACACAGCCAUAGGAGAUGGAGCUGAGAUGUGGCCUCACCUACCCUUUUCAUUAAAGGAGAUAGGACUCAAAGGGAUCAGUUUUACCGUGGGAAGCAGCCCAGGCACCAGAGCCCUGUUUCCAUGGCAGGUAGAGGUGAGCAAAAGACAAGAAGAUUCGGGCUUCCCGGAAGCGGAAUCACGCAGGUGUUCCUACUUGAGGAGAUUUCUUCCCGGCGGUGAGUGAGAGAUCCAGGUUCCUGGCCAAACUGGUCCUCUGCCGUCAGCAACACCUGCCUCCCAAGAGUGCCCUGAGCUGAAAGGAUUUCUUUCCUCCAAACUACAUGGGAAACCUCUUCUUCAGGAUAAGAAUGAAGCCUAUUUACCUUGUGUGGAUAAAGCCUCAUGCAGUACUGGUCCUAUUUCAGCCGCUCAGUGAAUGUUUGUCUAAUACAAAGCCGUGAAAUUCCUAGGAAACACGGGCGAGUGAGUCACAGGGGAUACAUGUUUUUGACAUCUACUGUCGUAGUUUCUGAAACAUAAAGAGAUUCUGCAGUGCCUACAUUUUCCCCAAUUUCAGCCAUGGCAGCUGCACCCUAGCUUCCCACAAAUAAGAAAAAGGGGAGAAGACAAUAAGGUCCUUGAAUAUCUCGAUCUGAAUAUGUAGCCUGUCCUCACAGCCUGACUACCCAAGACGUCCGUAGAUGGUUUGAUUUCCGUUCCGUGCAGGUCAGGAGCUUCUCCAGGAACAAUAGGGAGCUACUGCUUCCAAAACCCAGAGGCAGAGACACAGCGACCCUUCCAGCAAAGACGAGGGCUUGACACACAGAGAAGUAUUUGUAUGGGGAGCAAAGAAGAGUGUAGCUCCAAAGAGGCCUUUGCAAACACGCGUGUGCAAAAUGAAAUCUCUUGGAAGGGCCAUCUGUGAAUAUCAAGGGAACAGUAGCACUGGAUUUUCAGCGUUUUCCAAUUCAGGCAUAUGCUCCUCGUGCGACUCAGAAUUUAGAAUCGAUUCUCGUUCCUGAGCAUAACUGACGUCGCUUUGAUCUUCAUAUAUUUGUCACGGAAGCCAAGAACCUCCUAGGAUACCCCCCUUCCUCUUCACGUUGGGAUUAUCCACAACAAAUCUCAAAAGUUAUGUCGGCAAGUGAGCUCUCGGUCACUUCCCGUUAUACCUCCUCCGUCAGUCUUGGUUCCACGGCCAAGAGCAAAACCCACGGUCCGUUCCUGACAUCUCUCCUCCCCUGCACGUCCCCUAGAACAGCAUCCAGUUCAUAGGAUGGUGUUUCUGCCCCCAGAGCCUGUCCCGAACCGGUCCCUUUCCUUCAUCUCUAAGAGAGCUGCUCCUUAAAUCCAUCCCCCUCUCUUACCUGCACGCCUGCGAUAGCCCCACGGCUGAGCGUCUGCAUACACCGUCACCCCACUUAGUCUUUUCUGCGCCCCAGCCAAAGGAUGUUCAGAAGCGUAAACCUUCCACCAUCUUCCUUACCUAAAACUGUCCGCUGACUUCCCGUCACAUUGAGGACGACAUUCACACUCCUUCACAUACAGUACCUGGCCAUGCAUUUUUUGGACCCAUCUGUCUCUCCAGCCUGUUUUCCCGUCUCUCUUCCCUACACCCCCUCCUCUUCCCUUGUCUGGGUGGAAUUAGGUCACUUAAAAGGCAGGCACUUCAGUGUGAUCAGCACAGCUACCUCGUAAGUCUGUGCACAAGCUACGUUGUCAAUAACCUAUUGACCGUUGAUAAAUGCCAGUUCAUUGCCAUUUUUAUAUUAUUUUUACUGAACGAUAGUUGAUUUAUAAUAUUGGAAUA